rnacentral:rRNA from 1 species
AUGGCUCUCUUCUGUCGCCCUUCUUUGGCCGGCCGGCCGGCGGGGAUAUGCUGCUCCGUAAAGUCGCCGCAAUUUGAUUUUGUUCCGCCCGGCGCGGGAACAGGUGAUAGAGCCAGGAUUCUGCCAGCACGAAUGACGAUCUGUAGCUGCGAGGAGACCAUCAAUGAGUUCGAGAUGUUGACGCGCGAUGCUGCGCGUGUGCAGCUGGAUACGCUGAAGAAGAUCCUUGAGGCGAAUGCUGGUGCUGAAUACCUGAGGCAGUUUGGCCUCGACGGGAGGACCGAUGCCGCUAGCUACAAAUCUUGCAUCCCGUUGUGUGUGCACAGCGACGUUGAACCGUUCAUCCAGAGGGUUGCUGAUGGUGAUAGCGCACCAGUGGUGACCGGGAAGCCCAUCACCUCCCUCUCCCUCAGUUCUGGUACGACGCAGGGGAAGCCUAAGUUCCUGCCAUUUAAUGAUGAAUUGCUUGAGAACACACUUCAAAUAUUCCGUACUUCGUACGCAUUCAGGAACCGUGAAUACCCUAUCAGCGAAGGAAAAGCCUUGCAGUUUGUUUAUGGUAGCAAGCAAGCCUUGACGCCUGGUGGCAUCCUUGCUACAACUGCAACAACAAACCUGUACCGGAGUCAGCGCUACAAGGAAGGGAUGAAGGAUAUCCAGUCUCAGGGCUGCAGCCCCGACGAAGUCAUCUUUGGCCCUGACUUCAACCAAUCCUUGUACUGUCACUUGCUCUGUGGGUUGAUAUACUCGGACGAGGUCCAUUCCGUGUUCUCGACGUUUGCUCACAGCCUAGUGCAUGCAUUUCAAACAUUGGAGGAGGUCUGGGAGGACCUCUGUGCUGAUAUAAGAGAUGGCGUCCUUUCAGAAAAAAUCACAGUGCCAUCAAUUCGCGAGGCUGUUUCAAAGAUUCUGAAGCCCAACCCCGAGCUUGCCGACUCGAUCCACAAGAAGUGUGCGGGCUUGAGCAACUGGUACGGUGUGAUCCCGGCACUGUGGCCCAAGGCAAAGUACGUGUAUGGCAUCAUGACAGGGUCCAUGGAGCCGUAUCUGAAGAAGCUGCGGCAUUAUGCUGGGCACUUGCCGCUGAUCAGUGCCGACUACGGCGCGUCUGAAGGAUGGGUUGGCUCUAACAUCGACCCCACGGUGCCGCCUGAGCAGGUGACGUAUGCCGUUCUACCGCAGACUGGUUAUUUUGAGUUCAUUCCCUUGGAGAAACCAACAGGGGAGGAGACGGAGAACAGUGCAGCUAUUCAUUACAUCGAGUCGGAGCCGGUUGGGUUAACUGAAGUUGAGGUUGGCAAAAUCUAUGAAGUUGUGCUCACUACCUUUGCAGGCCUAUAUCGCUACAGACUAGGAGACGUGGUGAAGAUAGCGCGCUUCCACAACUCGACGCCGGAGCUCCAGUUCAUCUGCCGCAGGAGCCUGGUGCUGAGCAUCAACAUCGACAAGAACACCGAGAAGGACCUGCAGCUGGCCGUCGAGGAGGCGGCGAAGCUGCUGGAGGGGGAGAAGCUGGAGAUCGUGGACUUCACGAGCUACGUGGAGAAGUCGAGCGACCCGGGCCGGUACGUGAUCUUCUGGGAGCUGAGCUCCGAGGCCACAGACGAUGUCCUGAGCGGGUGCGCCAACGCCCUGGACCUGGCAUUCCUCGACGCGGGCUACAUGGGGUCGAGGAAGAUCAAGACCAUCGGGCCGCUCGAGCUCCGGGUCCUGAGGAAGGGCACAUUCAGGGAGAUCCUGCUCCACUUCCUGACCCUAGGAGGCGCGGUGAGCCAGUUCAAGACGCCCCGGUUCGUGAGCCCGGCCAACGGCAAGGUCCUGCAGAUCCUGAACCGGAACGUCGCCAAGAGCUACUUCAGCACGGCGUAUGGGCUAUGA